rnacentral:lncRNA from 1 species
CAAAAACAUGAAAACUAGCCUUCGGUAAUGAUGGAACUGAUAGAUUAGAGAAAAUCCACUUUAUUUAUUGACUUCUCUUUUCUUCCUACUCCAUUACCUCCAGGACAAUAAGUUCUGCAGUGAAAUUAUUAUGUAAAAAAUUGCAGACAGACAGAGUAAAGCUUGACUGGAAGGUGGAGCAUAAAGAUAGCACUUUUACCUUCUCCCUCAAACUCAUUGCUUUUCUCAUUGUCAUUACAUGGAUAAGGAGUUCUAAAAGUAAAGCAAGAGGCAAGAUAUUUAUUCAUUAAUUUUCUGUUCAUUAAUCAUCUUCUAUUGUGAUGGGGGCCCUGGAAAUACAGAAUGAAUAAAGCAAAAUUAUAACCUAGGAGGAUUUUUAGUCUAACGAGAAAUGGAAAUAUGAACAAAUGUAUACACUCAAAAGUACUAAGUGAUAUACCAAAUAUUUAAGCAAACAGCUGUGGCUGCUCAGUGCAGGGAGCUACUCAUUCUCUCCAGGAAAAGUGAGGAAGGCUUCAUAAUAGCCAUAUGGAACUUGUCGUGAGAAUGGGGGUUUUCAAUGAAAGAAAAGUCAUUUUAAGCAAAGAAUACCUUGCUGUGGUUUGAAUGUGUCUUCCAAUAAGUUCCUGUGUUGGAAGCUUAAUCUCCAAUGCAACAGUGGUAUGAAAUGGGCUCUAAUAAGAGUUGAUUGGACCUUUCCUAAUAAGAGAUGAUUGGAUAAAUGGAUUAAUGUUGUUGUCAUGUGAGCAGGUUAGUUAUUGUGAGAGUGUGUCAUUGUAAAGAGAAUCUGAUCACUGGAGCCUCUCUCUGUCUUGUGUACCAACUUCUCUUCCACCAUGCUAUGGUAUAGCAUAAAGGCCCUCACCAGAUGCUGGAGCCAUGCUCUUGGACUUCCCAUCCUCCAGAAUUGUGAGAAAUAAAUUUAUUUUCUUUACAGAUUACGCAGUCUGUGAUACUCUGUUAUUGCAACAGAAAACAGACUAAGACACAG